rnacentral:rRNA from 1 species
CCGAUAGUGUAGCAGUACCGUGAGGGAAAGGUGAUAAGAAGCGCGGCGUGGGGAGUGAAUUAGAACGUGUAUGCCGUGUUCGUAGAAGCAGUGGGAGGUGCUUGGUGGUGUGACUGCGUACGUUUUGUAUAUUGGGUCAGCGACUUAUAUUCUGUUGCAAGGUUAAGGGUUUAGGGGUGCGGAAUGGAAUCCGAGUCUUAACUGGGCUUUAAGUUUCAGUGUAUAGACCCGAAACCCGGUGUUCUAGCCAUGGGCUGGUUGAAG